rnacentral:rRNA from 1 species
UACGUAGGAGGCGAGCGUUGUCCGGAAUUACUGGGCGUAAAGCGCACGUAGGCGGCUUUGUAAGUUAGAGGUGAAAGCCUGGGGCUCAACCCCAGAAUUGCCUUUAAGACUGCAUCGCUUGAAUCCAGGAGAGGUGAGUGGAAUUCCGAGUGUAGAGGUGAAAUUCGUAGAUAUUCGGAAGAACACCAGUGGCGAAGGCGGCUCACUGGACUGGUAUUGACGCUGAGGUGGCGAAAAGCGUGGGGAGCAAACAGG